rnacentral:rRNA from 1 species
AACGAACGCUGGCGGCAGGCCUAACACAUGCAAGUCGAGCGAGGACUUCGGUUCUAGCGGCGGACGGGUGAGUAACGCGUGGGAAUGUGCCCUUCUCUACGGAAUAGCCCUGGGAAACUGGGAGUAAUACCGUAUACGCCCUAUUGGGGAAAGAUUUAUCGGAGAAGGAUCAGCCCGCGUUGGAUUAGGUAGUUGGUGGGGUAAUGGCCUACCAAGCCGACGAUCCAUAGCUGGUUUGAGAGGAUGAUCAGCCACACUGGGACUGAGACACGGCCCAGACUCCGACGGGAGGCAGCAGUGGGGAAUCUUAGACAAUGGAGGCAACCCUGAUCUAGCCAUGCCGCGUGAGUGAUGAAGGCCUUAGGGUUGUAAAGCUCUUUCAGCUGGGAAGAUAAUGACGGUACCAGCAGAAGAAGCCCCGGCUAACUCCGUG